CGAUACGGUGCGAGACAUCCUCGUCAAUCUCACCGUUACUCUGGAUCACGGACCCGAGGUACUUGAACUUAUCCCUUUUCUUUACCUCCUGCGCUUCUAGCCUCACCACUACCUCAUUCUCUCGCCUUACGUCAUUAAACUUACAUUCCACAUACUCUGUCUUGGUUCUGCUCACCCUGAACCCUUUAGACUCCAGAGUUUGCCUCCACAGCUCUAAUUUGUCGUUCACACCCCCUCGCGUCUCAUCUAUCAGGACUACAUCGUCUGCAAAAAGCAUACACCACGGCACCUCCCCUUGGAUACGCCGCGUUAACACAUCCAUUACUAGCGCAAACAAAAAGGGACUAAGAGUAGAUCCCUGAUGCAAUCCUGUCAGGACAGUGAAAUGCUCUGAGUCUCCUCCCGCCGUCCUCACCUGGGUUUUCGCUCCCUCAUACAUAUCCUUAAUUACUCUGCUAUAUGCCUGCGGUACUCCACUCACCUCCAAGCAUCUCCAAAGCACCUCCCUGGGGACUUUGUCGUACGCCUUUUCUAGGUCGAUGAACACCAUGUGCAAAUCCUUCUUCCUUUCCCUAUAUUGCUCCACCAACCGCCGUACCAGGUGAAUUGCCUCCGUCGUCGAGCGGCCGGGCAUAAAUCCGAACUGGUUUUCCGAGAUAGACACUAUCCGUCUCAGCCUCACCUCGACCACUCUCUCCCAGAUCUUCAUAGAGUGACUCAGUAACUUAAUCCCCCUAUAGUUAUUGCAACACUGAAUGUCCCCCUUAUUCUUAUAGAGGGGGAUCAUGGUACUCCACCUCCACGCCUCGGGCAUCUUUGCCGUCCUGAAAAUUUCAUUGAACAAUGCAGUCAACCACCUUACACCAGCCUCUCCAACGAACUUCCAAAACUCCACCGGUAUCUCAUCCGGCCCCGUCGCCCUACCCCUUCGCAUCCUGCGGACUGCCUGUCUAACCUCGUCUACCUUAAAACGUCUACAAUAGCUAAAAUCCCGACACUCCCCUGAGUGCUCCAGUUCCCCUAACACAAUAGCUCUGUCCCCCUCGUCAUUCAAGAGCCUAUGAAAGUACGACUGCCAUCUCUUCUUUAUGUGGCCGUCCUCCACCAACACUCUACCGUCCUCCCCCUUAAUGCACCUCACCUGAUCGAGGUCACGACCCUUCCUCUCCCUAGCCUUAGCGAGUCGGAACAACUUUUUCUCCCCUCCUUUCCCCUGUAACCCUGCAUACAAGCUCUCAAAAGCGGCCGUCUUAGCUGCCGUGACCGCUGACUUCGCCUCCUUCCUCGCUAGCUUGUACUCUUUCCUGUUUACCCGCUUCUCUUCUUCGUCCUUACUUUCCACCAACUUAGCAUACGCCUCUUUCUUGGUCUCCACUUUCUUCCCCACCUCUUCAUUCCACCACCAAUCCCCCCGAUGAUGUCCGGCCCGGCCCCUAGAAACACCCAACACCUCCCUUGCAUUCUCCCUGAUGCACGUUGCCGCCCUGUCCCACAUAUUAUCCACGUCCCCCCUACACUCCCACACCCCCUUGCCCGCCAACCUCUCCCCUAUCUCCCACGCAUUCACUGGCGUCAAGCCGCCCCACUUAAUUCUCGGUCUACACUCCUUACUCCUCCUCUUUCUAUUCUUCUUUAUACCCAAAUCCAUAACCAAGAGCCUAUGUUGGGUCGAAAGAUUCUCACUCGGGAUGACUUUACAGUCUUUACACAACGCCCUAUCCCCUUUCCUAAGCAACAAAAAGUCAAUCUGGGUCCUGGCUAUCGCGCUCCGAAAAGUGAUCAGGUGCUCGUCCUUCUUCGGGAAGCCCGAGUUCACCACCACCAGCCCAAACGCCCUCGCAAACUCCAAUAGGGUCGCACCCUCUUCAUUUCUCUCCCCAAAACCAAAACCACCAUGCACAUCCCCAAAGCCUCCCGGUAGCGCCCCGAUGUGCCCGUUGAAAUCCCCUGCUACAACAAUCUUCUCCGAACUGGGCACGCCUCUCACCACCUCCUCCAAAGCCUCCCAGAACCGCAUCUUCUCCUCCCCCUCCGAUCCCACUUGCGGCGCAUAGGCACUACACACGUUCAGGGUAAACCCCCGAAUGACCAACUUAAUAGUCAUCAACCUAUCGUUGAUCCUCUUCACCUCUACUACCUGACCUCUAAGCUCUUCAUCUACUAAGAUGCCAACUCCAUUCCUACGCCUCUCGCUCCCAGAGUACCACAGCUUGUAACCAUCCACCUCCCUAGCCCUAGACCCUACUCACUUGGUCUCUUGAACACACGCAAUAUUGAUCCUCCUCUUCCUAAAAAUCUUCACAAGCUCUAUGGACUUACCCUGAAGGGUUCCUAUAUUCCAAGACCCAACCCUCAGCCUACCAACACUAUCCACACGCCCUCCACUACCCCCCCCCGCGGCCAAACCUUGGCCUCCCUCNNNNNNNNNNNNNNNNNNNNNNNNNNNNNNNNNNNNNNNNNNNNNNNNNNNNNNNNNNNNNNNNNNNNNNNNNNNNNNNNNNNNNNNNNNNNNNNNNNNNNNNNNNNNNNNNNNNNNNNNNNNNNNNNNNNNNNNNNNNNNNNNNNNNNNNNNNNNNNNNNNNNNNNNNNNNNNNNNNNNNNNNNNNNNNNNNNNNNNNNNNNNNNNNNNNNNNNNNNNNNNNNNNNNNNNNNNNNNNNNNNNNNNNNNNNNNNNNNNNNNNNNNNNNNNNNNNNNNNNNNNNNNNNNNNNNNNNNNNNNNNNNNNNNNNNNNNNNNNNNNNNNNNNNNNNNNNNNNNNNNNNNNNNNNNNNNNNNNNNNNNNNNNNNNNNNNNNNNNNNNNNNNNNNNNNNNNNNNNNNNNNNNNNNNNNNNNNNNNNNNNNNNNNNNNNNNNNNNNNNNNNNNNNNNNNNNNNNNNNNNNNNNNNNNNNNNNNNNNNNNNNNNNNNNNNNNNNNNNNNNNNNNNNNNNNNNNNNNNNNNNNNNNNNNNNNNNNNNNNNNNNNNNNNNNNNNNNNNNNNNNNNNNNNNNNNNNNNNNNNNNNNNNNNNNNNNNNNNNNNNNNNNNNNNNNNNNNNNNNNNNNNNNNNNNNNNNNNNNNNNNNNNNNNNNNNNNNNNNNNNNNNNNNNNNNNNNNNNNNNNNNNNNNNNNNNNNNNNNNNNNNNNNNNNNNNNNNNNNNNNNNNNNNNNNNNNNNNNNNNNNNNNNNNNNNNNNNNNNNNNNNNNNNNNNNNNNNNNNNNCGACGCCAGGGACCGGAGGUCAGGGCCGGAGGUCGGGUCGGGUUGGCGCCGAAGGUCGGCGACAGCGACGGGGGCCUGGGACCGGGACGAGAGAGAGAGAUAGAGGGUAGGGAGAGAGAGAGAGAGCCGUUAGUGGAGAGAGAGAGGGUGGAUGAAGUACUGAAGCCCUAAAAAAGAAAACAUGCUUCACCGAGAAAUUUAAUAUUUUUAACAAAACAACAGCAACAAAUUAUACGAGCAUUGCCAAUUUCCAAGCAAAGGUUAGGCACUGUUUAAAAAGCAAUAGCCCAUACCCCGUUCCCAGCGUAUUUAAAAAAAGACGAGUUCAAAUAAUCAUCCAGAAAAGAAACAUGCUUCACAUCUCGCGGAGUCAUGGACAUUUGGAUUAUAAGAACAUGUAAUGGCCCAUUUUGUUAAAUCUUUUCCAGGUUUAAUAAAGUGGCCUACUUACAUAGCAUUAAAAUUCACUAUAUCCGCUCCUCAAAAUCAAAAACUUAAAGACAGCUUACUAUUUGUAUACCGAGACCACCAGCUUGUAUUUUCAGAAGUUUAUAACAGAAAAUAUUUUUACAAUAGCACAUUUUCUAAUUUCUAAAAAGUAGUUUUCUCAAACAAGACGGGCAAGUAUGUGCAAGAUGUUAUCUUAGCUCUGCACUGUAAACAAUACAAGCUGAAAACACACAGAUGCAAAUGAAACACACACCCAAGUGGCAUAUAUACCUUGUCAUCCUCGUAUACAAUGUCUGCUGGGAUUUCCUUCUUAAUGAUCUUGUCAAAUCUGACAAUCAAGAAUCAAUUCUUUAAACAAAGCCCCCCAAAAUAAUAAACAAUCUAAUUAAACAUCCAAAUUAACAGAAAAUUGAAACAUAUUGUCAAAUCUGACAAUCAAAAAACAAUUUUUAGAAAACAUCAACAUACCCCACGAAAUCCCACAAGUGGGGUCGAAAGAGGGUUAGAAUCUACACAGACCUUACCUCUACCUCGUGGAGGUAGAAAAGGUUGUUUCUAGAGAACUCUCAGCUCAAAUACAACAAAUCAAAGUAGGUAUGGAUAGGGAAAACAACAGUGAAGAAAAAAUACCAAUUACUAAAGAAACAACAACACAAUAGUGGAAUAACCGAAACACCAUAAACAACAAAAGAUGAUAGAAAUCAAAACCAAGAUACUACAAUCCAAAUAAACAGAAAAUGGAAACACACAGAUAAAACCAACAAUCACGAAUCAAUUUUUAGAUAACCCCCACAAGAAUAAGAAAAGCUAAGUAAAAAUCCAAAUAAACAGAAAAUGGUAACAUAUUGUCAAAUUCGACAAUCAAGAAUCAAUUUUUAAAACAACAACAACAAACCCAGUAUAUUCCCACAAAAGUGGAGUCUGGGGAGGAUAAAAUGUACGCAAUCCAUACCGCUACCUCCAAAGAAGUAGAGAGGUUGUUUCCGAUAGACCCCUGGCUCAAGAUAGAGAAUAGUAAACAGAAGCGUAAUGAAACAUGAAGCAUGAUGGAUGGCAUAACAUAAAAGGAAUAAGACAUAAUAAAAUAGAAAUCAGAGCAAUACGAAAAUAAGGUAGAUAAAUGCAAUAUGAGAUAAGAGGUAAGCCAUAGGACAUCUGGAAUACGACCUCCACCUAGCAGUAACAUACACACAUAGACCAGAGACACCCGCCACACCCAGACCCUCCUGACUAGGGGCUCCUACACACCCAGACCCUCCUGACUAGGGGCUCCUACCUAUGGACACAGUCCUAAGAUUACUAACCCGGCUAUACAUGAGCUCUUCUAACUACUUGCUACAACCUACGCACAAAACCUAGCCUUCUACCCUUAUCCGCGACCUCCACACCUUUCUAUCUAGGGUCACGUCCUCAGUAAGCUGAAGCUACUCCAUGUCAUGUCUAAUCACUUCCCUUCAGUACUUCUUCAGCCUACCUCUCCUCCUCUUAAAGUCAUCCAACGCAAGCUCUCACACCUACGAACUGGGGCAUCCGUGCCCCUCCUCAUCACAUGCCCAAACUAUCUCAACCUUCCUUCCCGCAUUUUGUCCUCCACCGAAGUCACUCCCACCUUCUCCCGGACAGUCUCAUUCCUAACUUUAUCCCCUCUAGUAAGUCCACACAUCCAACGCAACAUUCUCAUUUCCACCACCUUCACCCUUUGAAUGUGGGAAUUCUUGACUGGCCAACACUCUGCUCCAUAUAGCAUGGCUGGACGGACUGCCACUCUAUAGAAUUUGCCUUUAAGCUUAAGUAGCACCUUCUUAUCACACAACACUCCCGAGGCGAGCCUCCACUUCAUCCAACCAACUCCAAUACGAUUAGAUACAUCCUCAUCAAUCUCGCCAUUCUCCUGAAUCAUAAACCCAAGAAACUUAAAACUAUUCCUCUUACAAACAUCCUAGGAAUCCAACCUCACCACCAUAUCGACCUCCUGCCUCAAGUCACUAAAAUUGCACUCCAUAUACUCUGUCUUGGACCUACUCAACUUAAACCCCUUAGAUUCAAGGUGCCUCCAAACCUCCAAUUUUUCAUUCACACACCCCGCAUCUCAUCAAUCAGCACUACAUCAUCCGCAAACAACAUACACCACUGCAUCUCCCCUUGAAAACUUCGCGUCAACACGUCCAUCACCAACGCAAACAGAAACGAAUUAAGAGUCGAACCCGAAUGCAACUCUGUCUCGACCGCAAAAUGCUCUAAGUCCCCUCCUGCCGUUCUCACCCGAGUCUUCCCUCCAUCAUACAUGUCCUUAAUAGCUCUGAUGUAUGCCACCGGGACCUCUCUCGCCUCUAAGCAUCUCUAAAGCACCUCCCUAGGAACUUUGUCAUAACCCACAAUAAUAAACAUCUAAAUAAACACAAGACUAAAACAUAUUAUCAAAUAUAACACUCAAGAAUCAAUUUUUAGAACAACCCCACAAUAAUAAACAGCUAAUUAAACAUCCAAAAAAACAGAAAAUGGGAACAUAUUGUCAAAACUACAAAAACAACAACAAACCCAGUAUAUUCCCACAUCGUGGGGUCUGGGGAGGGUAGAAUGUACGCAGUCCAUACCACUACCUCUAAAGAAGUAGAGAGGCUGUUUCCGAUAAACCCCCGACUCAACACAAAGGACAGUAUACAAAAAAAAAAAUCAAAAGCAUAGGACAUGAUAAAAUAACAUAGGCACGACAUCCAUAAAAAUAUUGUACAUUUCCAAACAAAGGACACCAAAUCCCUCCUAACUACUAACUACGACUCACCCACACACCUUAGCCCUCUAUCCUAAUGUUUUUCCUCCAUACCUUCCUAUCUAGGAUCAUGUCCUCAGUCAGCUAUAACUGUUCCAUGUCACGUCUAAUCACUUUCCUCCAGUAUUUCUUCGGUCUACCCCUACCCCGCUUGAAACCAUCCAAGGUCAAUCUCUCACACCUACGAACCGGGACAUCCGUACCCCUCCUUAUCACAUGACCAAACCAUCUCAACCUCACUUCUCGCAUUUUAUCCUCCACCGACACCACACCCACCUUCUCCCGAAUAAUCUCAUUCCUAACCCUGUCAGCUCUUGUAAAUCCACACAUCCAACGCAACAUCCUCAUUUUCGCCACCUUCAACUUUUGAAUAUGAGAAUUCUUAACCGGCCAACACUCCGCUCUAUAUAACAUAGCCGGUCGGACUGCGAUUCUAUAGAAUUUGCCUUUCAACUUGGGGGGCACAUUCUUAUCGCAUAAAAUUCCCGAAGCGAGCCUCCAUUUCAUCCAACCUGCCCCAAUACGGUGGGAGACAUCCUCAUCUAUCUCUUCAUUCCCCAGAAUCGUGGACCCAGGAUACUUAAAACUAUCCCUCUUGCAAACCGCCAGAAAAUCCAACUUCACUACCACCUCCUCCUCUUGCCUCGAGUCAUUAAACUUGCACUCCAAGUACUCCGUCUUGGUCCUAUUCAACCAGAAACCUUUAGACUCCAAGGCUUGUCUCCAAACGUCCAGCUUAUCAUUAAUACCUUGUCGCGACUCAUCAAUCAAAACUACAUCAUCCGCAAAAAGCAUACACCAAGGCACCUCGCCUUGUAUACUCCGCGUCAACACAUCCAUCACCAAGGCGAAUAAAAACGUACUAAGAUUUGAUCCCUGGUGCAAUCCUAUCAAGACAGGGAAAUGCUCGGAAUCUCCUCCCACUGUCCUUACCCGAGUCUUCGCCCCCUCAUACAUGUCCUUAAUCACUCUGUUGUACGCCAUAGGAACCCCCCUCGCCUCCAAGCAUCUCCACAGAAUUUUCCUAGGGACCUUUUCAGACGCCUUUUCCAAGUCAAUAAACACCAUGUGCAGAUCCCUCUUCCUCUCUCUAUACUACUCUACCAAUCUUCGCACUAGGUGAAUUGCCUCAGUCGUGGAGCGACCAGGCAUAAAUCCAAAUUGAUUCUCCGAAAUAGACACAAUCUUCCUCAACCUCCGCUCCACCACCCUCUCCCAAAUCUUCAUCGUGUGACUCAACAACUUAAUACCCCGGUAGUUGUUGCAACUCUGAAUGUCACCCUUGUUCUUAUAUAAAGGAAUCAUCGUGCUCCAUCUCCAUGCCUCGGGCAUCUUUGCGGACUUGAAAAUGUUGUUAAACAAGUUAGUCAGCCACCUCAACCCUACCCCGCUAGAAAACUUCCAAAAAUCCACUGGGAUCUUAUCAGGCCCCGUCGCCCUAUCCCUUCGCAUCUUGCGAUUAGUCUCACUGACCUCCUCUACCUUAAAACACCGAAAAUAGACGAAAUCGCGACACUCCCCGGAGUGCUCCAACUCCCCUAACACAACACCUCUGUUCCUCUCCUCAUUCAAGAGCCUAUGAAAAUACGACUGCCAUCUUUCCUUAAUGAGGGCGUCUUCAACCAAUACUCUGUCAUCCUCCCCCUUAAUGCACUUCACCUGAUCCAGAUCCCGCCCCUUCCACUCCCUAACCUUGGCAAGUCUAAACAACCUUUUUUCCUCGCCUUUCUCCUCUAACCCCUUAUACAAACUCUUAAAAGUUGCUGUCUCAGCAGUCGUAACUGCUCUGACAAUGAAUAAUCAAAGCAGCAUCAACAACAUAUCUAUUUCCACAAAUUAGGGUCUGGGGAGGAUAGAGUAUGCGCAGACCUAACCCUACCUUGUGGAAGUAGAAAGGUUGUUUCCGGAGGAACCUCAGCUCAAAUACAGCAAAUCAAAGUAGGUAUGAAAUGGGGAAACGACAGUGAAGAAAACAUAGCAACUAAUUAGGACACAAUAACAACAACAAAAUAGUGCAAUAACCGAAACACCAUUUACAACAGAUGAUGAUAGAAAUCAAAAGCAAGUUACUAUAAGAAUAAGGCUAAUACUACGACAGACACCACCAAGCCUAAACCUGUUGAAAUGCAAGUACUAACCUUCUACCCUAAUCCGUAACCUCCAUACACUCCUAUCUAAGGUCAAUUAAACAUCCAAAUAAACAGAAAACUGUAACAUACUGUCAAAACUGACAAUCAAGAAUCAACUUUUAAAAUAACCCACAAAAAUAAACAUCCAAAAACAUAUUAUCAAAUGUGAUAAUCAAGAAUCAAUUUUUAAUAAAAAUCACAGUAAUAAACAUUCAAAGAAACAGAAAACAGUAACAUAUUGUCAAAACUGACAAUCAAGAAUCAACUUUUAACAUAACCCCACAAUAAUAAACAUCCAAAAACAUAUUAGUAUCAAAUAUGAUAAUCAAGACUCAAUCUUUAAGAAACCCCACAAUAAUAAACAAAGCUAAUGAAACAGAAAAUGGAAACAUAAAAGGGAAAAAAUAAUACAUGGUAGGAGCAUCAGAAGGAACAGCAAGAAGUGCAGCUUCUUUCUCAGAAGCCAUAGCAGUAAAAUGUGAUGAGAGUACUUGGAGUCUGCUCCUAUUGGGGUUUUCUGAACUCAUGUGGUAGGCUUCAUUUUGCUUUCUUGGUAUCUUAACUUUAUUAGUCAACAUAUUGGUGCUGUAAACUUAUCAUAAUUGUAGUUAGAUACACCUAAGUUUUCGCUUGUACAUGUAUGUGAUACUUCUAUUUUUGAUAACCGUCAUAUGCAGCAACACAUAUCCGGUAAUUAGAAUAGAUGAAAAAACAAAUCACCUAUUCUUUUUGUCUCUAUUAAAAAUUGAGUUUACCACCUAAUUGGAGCUGACUCCUAUAUUUUAACUUCUUUUUUAAUUUUUUAUCGGUAUAUUAAUUUUGUUAUUCAGUAUAACAGUACUAUAAGUUUCUCAUAAUUAUGAUUCGGUAUACCAAGUUCUUAAUUGUACAUAUGUUGUAUUACUAUCUGUCUGUUUCAAAUGAAAAAUGACAUUUUUCUUGAUAAAAGAAAGUGGAAUGAUGAGCAUUUCUCAUUUUCAAUCCUAAGAGUGUAAAUUUAAGUCAUCAAGAAGUAAAUACGAUAUUAACUAACACCUAGGAGGGAUGAAAAGGAUGUUUUCCUCUCUUUUAAUUUGCAAAUUUUAUAGUAGUACAAUGCAAUUGGUGCAAAAUAAUACUACAAAAUCAAAACCUUUCAACACACAUUGGUACAGGAUAUACAUCACAUAUUUCUAUAGAAUUUUAAUUUAAUAUGUGACUUAAAAUAACUUUAACUUGACUCGUCUCUAUAUAUAUCAAAAUAAUAAUAGGUAUCAACUUUGACUUACUAAUCAAUCAACCAUUAGGCAACACUUCAUCAAACAACCAACAAGGAUUGUAAUGAAGUUGUUUUAUUUAAGAAUGAUGAAUAUGAACUUUCAUUUUAUAUGGUUCAUUUAUUCAGCCAAUUUUGCCCCAUAAUGUUAUUUCUCCUUACAUAUAAAAACAACAUUGGCAUUAUGGAUGUUAGAAAGGAUUUUUUUUUUUCCCAUUAUAAUAUAUGAUGGUUACUGUUUGCACACAAAAUACACUUAGCAUUUCUGAGAGGAUAUAUGACAAAUUGUGAUUGCUGCAAAGCCAUUUUUGCUUAGGAGAAGCUCAUAUAGCUUCUAACCUAGAAGUAUUUACUGUAAAAUACUGGAAAAAUAAUAUAAAUAUAUACCUUAACUUGUCAUAUUUACACAAAUUUUCACCAUUAUAAAAAUUUUAACUAAUUAUGUGUCACGACCCAGACUAACGGACCGUACGGGCACCUACGCUAUUCUAAGUAGCUAGGAGAACCUUUAUUACCCAACUAAAAAUAUGCGGAAGACUUCUGUUUUUAAGGAAAUAUAAAGUAAAUUAAAUACUAUAAACUUUUUCGAAAACUUCUUACAAAUGUCCUUCACUGUACCAAGACUUGGCCAGACAUGUACAAAAGCUACCUAUUACAACAUAGACUGACAAUAAAAUAAACAAUACAAGGACUCGAACAUCUGCCAGGAAGAAAGUGCAGAAGUUAGUGUUGAAUAUCGUCAUCCAUCUAGUAACUGUAAACUAACCUGCAUUCAGUCUACGCCCCAAUAAGGAUUGCAGAAGAGUAGGGUCAGUACAACCACACGUACUGGUAGGCAUCAUCGACCGACCGUGUUAGUUCAUAUAAUCAUAAAAUAAAAUUAAGAAAAAUAAACCAUGACAUCUAGAAUGGAAUAUAAUUCAACCAAGGCUGUAAUAACAUUAUUACUUUACCUGUAUAAGUUACAUCAUCCAAUUACUCUUCCAACUCCAUCAGUAUUAUAUUCACUACUACCAUACUCUAGCCUCAUUAAUUCACACAAUCCAACACUGAUACAUCACUAUUCCUCUUUGUUCACUUUAUCUUUUUCAUUACUCAUAUUCACAGGAACAAACUCGUAGUCAUAGACAACCCACACUAAACUCUCGGGCUAACAACCAAACGCUCUCUUAUAAUAUUAAAGAAUGAUAACUAGCCAUUCUGAUAAGCUACGAUUAAAACACGUAUAAAUAAAGCAAGUCAACCAACAUAUAAGUAAGUAUAAAGUUUCACUUCUUCAAAUACAUAUCACACAAUCAAAUACUCAAUGAAUCAACAAUACAACAAUAAUAGAUCAAACAGUGCUCACAAACAAGCCACAUAACCAUCAAGAGCAAGCGAAAUCCCGUUUCAGCCCGGACAGUGCUCACUAAAACAAUCAUAACUUUUUACUUUGAAUUCGGAUUGAGGAACGAUUUAUUGCGUUGGAAAGAGGACUCAAAAAUAUUUGAUUUGGUAGAUAGUGGGAUCCUUAACUCCUUAUAUUGUAGGAGAUAUGGUCGUUUGAAGUUAGCCCUAAUAGAAACUCAUAUCGAAACCGUAUCGGAAAGAAAGUUAUAAACUUAACUAUGUGUUGGGGAUAUUGUACGACCUUAAUUCAUCCUAAAAGAACUUUAAAACCAAAGUAUUGAUAUUAGAACUCAUGAAUAAUUAAAAUUCUUCGAACUUGAGUCUAUCUAGACACAUCCGAAGGCUAAAAUCUUCACCGAAAAAUUCGAGGUGACAUCAUAACAAAUAAAAUAUUUUCUAUUUUGGACCCAAGUUAAUAUUGGGGAAUGAAUUUUCAUGAAUUUACUAUGGAUAAUUUAAUAACGACGAAAUGGGUCCUUACAUUAUGUAUCUUCGUUGGAUGUAUCGAAAACUAAUUAUGUAUCUCAACAAAUUCAAAAUCGAAAAAAAUGGAUCAGAAGAUAAUUAUGUAUCUUACAAAGAAAAAAAUGUAUCUUUGUUGGAUGUAUUAUGUAUCUCGACCUAUCCAAAAUCGAAAAAAAUAUAUCGGAAGCUAAUUAUGUAUCUUUACAAAAGAAAAAAUUGUAUCUUCGUUGAAUGUAUCAGGAAUAAAUUAUGUAUCUUGACAAACUAAAAAGUCAGAAUUUUCAAUAAUUAUGUAAAAUAUCAAAAUUUUCUACAAUUAAGCUCUAAACUGUCGGAAUUUAUAUUAUUUUUAUCCUAAAAUACUAGAUAUCCUUUAGAAUAAUCUUCAUAUGGAUUUUUACUUGCUUUACCAAUAUUUGGGCUCCAAUGUUAUGAUGAAUCUUGAAAUGGACUUUCUAAAUUGAUGAGGCCCAUGUGAAAAUAUUCUUGUUUUCUCUUGAUGAUCUAGUGGGCCAAAUCACACUUUAUUCCUUACAAGGCUUUAAGCAAAAUCAAGGAUAUAGUGAUGUGCCGUAAGAUCUUGUUCCUUUUUACUUGACGUUCUUUAUUUUCUUUGGUUUUCACCCAUAGAGCGGUAGCCUGCUUACGUAGUUCUUACGUUAAGGAUCUAAUCAGAGUCAAAUUUGAAUUUCAAAAGAAAAAAAAAAAUCCCCUUAUUAGUCAGACUACAAGUAUACAUUUUUUUUCUUUAGUUUCUUUAGUAAAGGUGGAUUUAGCCAAAACGUUUGAAUAGUUCGAUCGUCCUUGUUGAGAGUCGCUCUGUGAGACAUCUAAUAGUCUCUGACUUGAUUUUCAAAUCAUAAGUCUCAGCCCCUCCUCUGCUUGUCUCGCUCUAUAUACACCAUAUACAAAAAUUAUACUAUACUAUCAUAUCAUUCAAAAAAUAUUUAAAAUAUUCCUUUAAAUAAUGAAUUUGUAGCCUUGAAAAAAUAAAAUAAAUGACUUGUUGCAACAUCUAAAUGUGAUAUGAUGACUUAAAAAUUCUUUGUUCCACAUACCACGAGCUAUAAAAAUUACUACAUAAAUUCUAGCAUUAGUUUAUAUAAUGUAAAUUUCGAAAAAAACUAUCAGUAUCGUAUUAAAGUAAGAUAGGUUACUUAUUAUAACCAUUAAAUGUGACUUGAUAACGCAAAAAACUCUUUACACUAAUAGUAGUUUUAUGUCUUGAAAGGCAUCAAAUGCACUUAAUGUCCUUCAUAUUUUAAUUUGUAAAUAAUUAUAAGAGAUUAUAUCCUUUAUAUAAUAUAACAUAAUACGACAGAUCGAUUCCACACAAUAUGUACAUAUUUAUUAUGAUUCAACUUUAUCAAAUACUCACUUAUUUAAUUACUCUCAAGACAAGAAUCAUACACCUUUAAUAUUUUUCACAUCAUAAACCAAGAAAGAAUUAGGUAAACUGUCAAAGGUGGCAAAAAAUACCUCAUUUCAUCAUCCCUUUUUACGGAAAAAUAUUUUUUUUUUGUCAAAUACAUAAAUUUUCCACCGACAAAAACAGUCAUCAUUUAUAUAUAUUCUUUAUAUAUAAACUACCACAAAUAAAUUAAUCAUUUUGGCAAUACACUAAUUGCCAAAUAUUUAUUCUAUGAGUCCCUAUCAAGUAGUCUUAAUCUAAUAACAACCAUAUUGCGUAGGAAAAAUCAGAAUAAAGGCAGAUAUUUUUAUUCCAAAUCUAGGAGUUUGAAUCAAGAAUAAUAGUCCAAAUUUCAAAUAACAACCAUGAUAGUGACAAUACUUUGAUUAGCAAGAGCUUAAUUAAUCUCAUACAUAAUUAUUAAAUUUUAAAAAGUUAGUAGUAUAAUAUUUUUAGUGGAAUAAUUAACCGACACUAUUGAUAUAAGAGGUUAUCAUUAUGUUCUUUGUCAAAAAAAAUUAAUUAGCCGAAAGUAUUAGGUUUAUAGUUUCUCAUUACUAUUUUUUUUUAGGUGAAAUAAGCACAAAACUAUGUAUUUCAAAAGCCUAAAAUCAAAACAAAUGUAUUGAAAAUUAAUUAUAUAUCUUUACAAAUGAAAAAAUAUAUCUUCGUUGGAUAUGUUAAUUAGUAUCUCGACAGACUCAAAAUUGAAAAAAAAAAUAUCGAAAGCUAAUUAUGUAUCUUUACAAAGAAAAAAACGUAACUUUGUUGGAUGUAUCGGGAACUAACUAUGUAUCUCGACAGACCCAAAAUCGAAAUUUUCUUUAAUUAUGCAAAAUGUCGAGAUUUUCUAUAAUUAAACUCCAAACUAUGAAUAAUUAAGUAUUGUAAAAUAACAUCUUGAUUUUUAAAAUAAUGCAUAAAGUAUGUAUAAGUUAUGAUUCUUCUCAUGCCAAUGCAAUGAAAAAAAUAAAUUUUACAUGAUUUGAAGAUUUUGAGACUUGAAAAUAAUCCAAAAUGUCAGUAUAUUUUAAUAAUUUCUUUUUUAUUUGGUUUGGUUACAACAUAAGAAAGUACACCUUGGAAGAAUAUAAUUAGGUAAACUAAUUUGUGGAUAACUAUGCUGUCCAUUUUUAUGGGGUAUUUUAAGAAGUGGAAAUUUGCUAUUAUCAAUAACAUACAUGAACCUAAUUUUGGAUGGUUUUAGGGUUUAUCGAUUCUUUCUAGUACUUAUAUUUUUCAAUUUUUGUAAUACUAUUUCUUGGAAAUAUGAUUAGGAUCUAUUAGAACAAGAAAAGAAUCAAAACUGACAUCUUUUUUUUUUUUUUUUUUUUUUUUUUUUUUAAAAGGGGGAAAUUUAGAUUGUGACAAUAAUUAAUUAAAUAUUAAUUUCAAUAAUAACAACGACCUAUUUAGAGUAAUUUCAAGAGUGAGGUAGGUACUGUAAAGUGUACACAAAUUUGAGAACCUUACAUUUAUCUUGGGAUGUAGAAAAACAGUUUUCAAUAAUAAUUCGGCUCAAAAAAGUGAUCGAGGAGGAAGACAAAGUAUGUUGUUCACAUGUACACUAACUACAAUAAAAUAGUAGACUAAUUGAUGUACAAGAGCAACAGAUAAUAACAGAAAUGAAAAAUAAUUACUCGAGUAAUACUACUAAUACUAAUACUGGUAUAUAAGAAGACGCUAAGCAACACAUAACUAUAGACUAACUCUCUAUCCUAACAAUAGCGGGCCAAAAUUUUCAUUAAGGGGUUCAAAAGUAAAUAUAUAAACUACUCAAAGAGGGUUCAAUAUCUACAAUAUAUAUGUAAGAAGAAAUUUUAACUAUAUAUAAAUAGUAUAGUUUUCCACCGCAGAGGGUUCGGAUGAGCCCCCUGGCCUAAAGGUAGCUCCGCCCCUGUUAGUCCUAGUUUGCACUAUUUCAUAGCCUCUUAUAAUCUGAUGUCAUGUUCUCGGUAAAUUAAAGUUGUCUUAUGUCUUGCUUAAUUACUUCUCCCAUACUUCUUUGACCUAUUUCUACCUCCCUCCUAAAACCCCUCCAAAAAAUAUUAAUUAAAUAUUUCAAUAAAGAAUAUUUAUGAUCAAUUGGAUUCGAUUAAUUACUGUACUUUCUUGGACCCUAAUUUAAUUAAUUAUUCAAACACUAUAUUCUAACAUUUCAGAGUAUGAUUCCUAUAACCACAGCAACAAUACCAAGAACAACAGUAAAAUGCUGGGAUGAAACAGUUAGGAGAAUUUGUUGUGUAAGUUUUUUUAAGUUCUAACAUAGUACAUAGUAUUCUGUCAUUUUCUUUUAAUUUCUUUAUUAUACAUUACCACUUACAACUUUUUUAUUCUUAAUAAUAUGGAUUCCCAAAGCAACUAAACUUUGGUUUUGUGCCUUUUUCAAGGUUCCAACUUUUCUUUGGACACAUUUGUGCAUCUUUAAGAUGUAGUAAUUAAUCUCUUAUUAAAAAUUAACGCAAUAGUACUAAUUACUGCCUAAAACAUUAUUUAUUUUGAUAAUUUUAAACUUACUACAUGUUGUAAACUUAUCAUACAAUUAUUCAAAAAAUUGCAACAGAAGAGAAACAAAUACUAUCUAUUUCUUCAGAAAUGUCGACGAAUGUGUAUCGAAUCCUUUAAAAAUAUUUUUUUAAAAAAAUUUUGAUAUGAUAUAAAGAUAUUUUUGAAAAGUGAAAGCAUAUGUUGUGGUGUAUGUAUGUGAACCUGAAUUUCACUCCAUCCCCUAAAGUUGUUAAGAAUAAAGGCAUUUUUAGGUCUAAUAUUUUCUUUAUCAUUAUAUGGAUAAUAAAGUGUGGUAGGCCACAAAUUGAAAGAAAUACUUGCACCUACUUCAAAAUUUUCCUAUUCAUUAUAAGUUAUAACAUAUCUAGACACUAAUUAAAUACAACUUGACUUAUCUUUUAUCUUAACACUUGUUUAACGUCAAAGAGUUGAUUCAAUGUUCAAGUAGCUAGGAGUAUCUAGUAAACUCAUAUGAGCCAAGUUCAGUAUUCAUAGUAUUUAACCCUAGCUAAUUAUGCUUACAAUCACGCUAAAUAAAUAUUUUACAAUUAAUAUACAAUAUAACAUUAUAAAGUGUGCUUUUACUCAGACCAUAUACACUAAAAAAGACUAUAUAAUAAAGAGGCACAUAAUCCCAUCCCCAUCGAUGUGAGACUCAACACCUUUGAACGCUCCGAACUGAAUAUUCAAAUGGACAAUAUAUGUAACGUGGACCCAGCAUCCCACACAAAAAAAUUGAAAUAGUGUUGAUUCUGACAUUAGUUCUUAACUCGUUCAUAAAAGUUAGCUCAUGGUGAAGAUCCAAAGCGAUACAUAUAUAAGAGGCACAUAUAAUUAAUCCCAUCCCGAUCAAUGUGAAACUCAACAGUUUGAGCAAUAAGAAUGGAGUCGCCGUUCGUAGGAAAUGCUCGGGUAAAGCAAGAAUUUUUUGAUGCAAAUAUGAAAUUAGUCGAGUUUCAAUAUGAUAAAAAAAUCCUGUUUUUUUUUUUUUGGUGGUUGCAUUGGCUUAAUUAAGGUUUUCUUCUUUUUAAUUAGUAGAUGGAAUGUCCUACCAAAAACAUUACUAAGAGCGCAUGAUGUUGUAUUUUACAGUGACAUGUUUGUAUCUUUGUGGAUUAAAGGGAGAAAAAGUCUAACAUGUCAGUAUUAUUUCAUAAGAGAAUAUGCAUAUGUUAAAAAGGGUAAGUGAAUUAAGUCAGUGAUAUAUAUAUGUGUGUGUUCUUGAUGUCCCCUUAGAUCACUUUUCAACAAAGACUGCUUUUGGUGUCCUUUAUGUCACAAGAGGGACUUCUCAACAACUCCAUUCCAAGCAUCUUUUGUGGGAUAAAAUUAAAAGGGUUAGGAACAAAUCAAUUUCUUGGAGAAAUCUAUCAUAACAGAUCGGACUAUCUAUCAAUUAUCGAUUUGAAUAGAGUACGCUUAUUUUUUUCACAAAAUAUAGCAUUCGUUGUACUUACGAAGAAGGCCAAGUAGGUAAAUAUACUCUUUUAUUCACGCCUUAAAAUAGUAUGUUCAUCUCGUUUAUAGUUAAUCUUUUUCACCAAAAUAUAGCCUCCGUAAUAGUUAAGGAACACGCCAAGCGUAUAUAAGUGUUCGCUUCACUCCCUUAAAAUGUUGCCUGCGCGUUGGAUCGUCUCCCACUCUCAUGAGUUUAGGAUUUGUACAUUAUCAUGUAUUAUAUAUCGACCUAUAAUACUAUAUGUAACUCUUGAUCACAAGCUUAAUAUGAUAGCCAAGAAAUUGAGAGCAUAAAUCUUACCUUCACCAUACCCCAUUUGUUGAAUGACACUGAGAUUUGUUUUUGUUGGUGUUACUUCUAGCUUCUUCUUUUUUCCUUUUUUUCUUCUUUUGAGUAAAAGCAUAUCGUAUCCCCCCUGAACUAUUACCUAAUUUGCUACGUUACACUCCAACUUUACUGGAGUCCAAUUACCCUUAAAUUCAAUUUUAACGUAUUUUUGUCACCCUUUUAGCUAAUGUGAUACUUUUUAAGCUGACGUGGCACUAUUGGCGUGGAUUCCAUUUUUAUAUAAUAAAGGUUUCACGUCAUCACAAAUGGAUGACAAAAAUACACUAAAAUUGAGUUCAGAGGGUAAUAAGACCCCUGUAAAGUUGGAGUGUAUCGUAGCAACUUUAAUUUGAUCAUAAUUCGAGGAGGUACCAUAUGCUUAUUUUUUUUUUUUUUCAAGUAAAAGAAACAGGAAUUACGCACAUCAUGCAUGGGUAAUAAUUAUGGUGGGCAAUCAAUCAUUUUUCAAUUUCCUAAAAUUUAGUUUUAUGUCUUGACAAUAAAGAUUAAUUUGGUUCACUAGUGUAAUACUAGAUAUGAUUGAAAUUUCAAUAAAGAGAUUUUGUGAAAAUAAUUAUGGUGGGAACCAAGCAAACGUGGCUUACUGGUUAUAAAGGGUUAGGUAACUGAAGAAUAUAAUUAUUGUGUUUUUAAUAAUGACCUUAAAGAAAUAUAUGUUGAUAUAUAUGAGCUUAACUAGAUUGAAAUUUUAUAUAAUCGAUUCUAAACUUAUUUGAAAUUAAAACAUAAUUUCAUAAUUUUAAUCUCUACAUUAUUGACAAACUUCAAAUUUAGUAAUCUAGAUAUGCCUAAGCGUUAUGGUGUAGUUUGUAAGAAUCUUAUGGAUUCGAAUUUAGGUGAAGAAGAGUACAGAGGUUAUCCCAUUAGAAUUUAAGUUUGGUAUAUCGUUGGAGUAAUUUUUUUUUCACCAUCAUAUAAUUUUUACCUGCUGUAGUAGGUCAUUCAUUUCUCAGGUAAAAAUAUAAAAAUGGAUGACCUGCUACAACAGGUAAAAGUCACCUGAUGGUGUAAAAGAAAACUACAUCAACGGUGCACCAAACUUAAAUUGUAUCCAUUAUCCACGAAAUAUGCUAACGCAUAAUCUAGCUAAGUUUUCAAUUUUGAUAUGAGAUAAAGUUAUUUGUUUUUUCUUAUUUUCUAAUUGAAUUGUAAAUGAUUCUAUGCUUUUUUUAACUCUUUAAGACCGUCUAUGCGUUACUAACGAUAUGGACUGACACUUGUCGGUGUCGAAAGGUCAAGGAAGUUGGUGAUUUGAUCGCAUGCGAAUCUGCGAUCGAAGCUCCGAUGAACGGCGGCCAUAACUAUAACGGUCCUAAAGUAGCGAAAUUUAAUUUCUUGACGAAUAAGUUUCAACCCGUACGAAAGGUAUAACGAUCUGGACACUGUCUUGAAGAGAGACUCAGUGAAAUAGACAUAUCUUUCAGAUGAGGACUACCUGCGCCUGAACAGAAAAUAAGGUUAUUUGAUGUCCAAAAUAAAAAAGUUGAACCACAUUUCACUAGUAAUUAACUAGUUAAUUACAUUUAAUUUAGAGGACCCAUAUAUUGUUUUUCUGUUCAACAACUUAUGAAUGAUGACAUCAAUAAUGAGAAUUGCACCUAUAUAUGCCACUGCUAAGUUGAAAUGUCCUUAGGUUCACUUCCUCCUUUGUAACAUUUGCUUAAAUCUUCCCUCUAAAAAUAGUAAUUUGUGAACCUAAUUAACUCCUUUGUAACUUGCAUGUUAUGCUCUCCAUUUAUCUUUAAAACAUUGUUACUUGUUCAUAUGAGUACAAUAUAUUCAUACAAAAAUUAAGUUUUAUAUGUUGUGUACAAAAUAUUUCAUGCUAUAAGGUAAAUUUAAUCUGUUAUUACAGGGUAUUUAAUUUUUUUUUUUAAUUUUUAUGUAAAAAAUUGAGUCUGCAUUAAUAGGUCAAACUUAUCUAAUAGUGUAAAUAUUUUAUACACUAAUAAUGCACAAAACUUAAACUCAUUCUUAAAUACGUAAACAAUCCCAUCCAAUUGUAAGUACUUCUUGAAAAACAUCUUUUGAAGUAAUCAACUCAACAACAACAUUAUUAUUAUGUAAUUCAAUUAGUGAGUUUUGAAGAGGAUAUAGUGUAAACAGAUCUUAUCUCUAAUUGUUAGAAUAUAAAUAUUUUUUUACAAUAAAACUUUGACUUAAGAUAAUUUAGACAAGUUCAAUAAUUCAAGCAAUUUAAAAAAAAGAAUACAAAAAUAAAAAAUAAUAAUAACAACAACAACAUAAUAUCAAGGAAAUGAAGAGUAGUACAAUUAGGGGUGUUCAUGGUUUGGUUUUUAACCAAAUCGAACCGCUAUCCAAAUCAAAUCGAUUAAAAAAUCGAUAUUUGGUUAGAUUUGGUUUGGUUUGGUUUUGAAUUUUAAAAAACCAAUACUAAUUUGGUUUGGUUUGGUUUUACUCUAAAAUAGCCGAUAAAAUAACCAAACUGAACCGAUAUAUAUAUAUAUAUAUAUAUUUAUGUAUUAUUCAUAAAUACAAUAUAAAUAUUUGUUACACUUUAUAUUUGAAUCAUGAUUUAACUUUAGUCGUAACACAUUAAGUCAUUUCUUCAUCUAGUUAAUAGUACCUUAUGAGAUUAUAAGUGAAUUUCGCACUUUGAAUGACAAAUGAUACUAAUUGUGAAAAUAAUAUCUUGUUAUAUAUUGAAAUUUAUAGCUGACAUUUGACUAUAGACAAUCAUUAAUUUUAACUUUUUUUUAACUUUGUUGAGUAAGAAGUUUAUGUGUUCACCUUUUGAGGAGUUUAUCAUAUCAUUUUGUUAAAUGUAGUUUUAAAAUAUAUUUUUAGAAGUGUUCAUAUGGUGUUGUUCAUAACUUUCCAGAAGUAUAACACUCAGUUGACAUCUUAGUUUCACGAUUGAGAUACAACACUCGGUUAGCAUCUCAUAUGUUAGAUUGAAUUGAUUUUUUUUAAUUUUUAACUUUUAUCAUUAGUUAAAGUUAUAAAUCGAAAAAAUCAAACCAAAUCGAACUAAAUCGAGAAGAACCAAACCGAUAGUUAUUUUUUUGUUUGAUUUGAUUUAAUUUUAGAAAUUUAAAAACUGAUUAAAUUGGUUUGAUUAUAAUUUUAACUAAUGACCGACCCUUAAUACAGUCCAAAUAAAGUAAAAUUUUAAAAGUUUCAAUUUAUCUUCGAAAAAAAUCUUUUUUUUUUUAAUUUUUUUAUUUUCAAAAAGGUGAUGGUGGCAAAGGCCAAUAAAGUGAAAACUGACACAACAAUUUUGUCUAGACAUGGGCACACGUGAAAGGACAAGAUAGAGGGGCAGCAUGCACGUGUGCAUAACGGAAAACAUCGUCAUGAGCAAAAGUGACGACCGUUUCAUUUUCCUCUGUAACAACAAAACAAAAACCAUGUCCCACUUUCCCAUAAUAAACCAAAAACAUUAACUUACCCACCCACUAAAUUAACAAAUCCACCCACCCACUCUCACGUUUUUUCUCAUUAUUGUAAUCUCAAUAUGCUACUGUAAGUGACGAGGUCACGUGUUCAAACUUUGAAAAUAAUUUUUUAUAAAAAUACAAAAUAAAGCUGUAUAUAAUAUAUUUUUAUGGUAGAACUCUUUCAUGAAUUUUGUGCAUAACAAUAGUUUUAAUGUAUCAAAUUAUUUUAUUUUUUUGUAAUCUCAAUAUGCUUAAUAUAUUUUCAUAAAAUAAGGUUCAGAGAAAUAGAAUAUAGAUGUUUAACUAAUCGACUGUCUUUGACUGUAUAUGACUGUAAUUGCAUUACUACCACAACAAUCAUCAUCAUUAGGAACUAUUAUACAUUAUUAACUAUUAUCAUUGCAACGUCGCUUACGGCACUUUGGCACCACCAUACUACUACAUCGGUCAGUUGUCACUCACCAUUACCACUAACUACUAGCCACAUCGAUCACCUUAUUACUAUAUCAGUUUUAAUUUCCGUUCCAAAUUUAGGAAUUGUGUGUGUCUAAUAAAUUCGAACACAUAUAUUUACGUUCAAAGUUUUAAAGUUUCGUUUGAAAACAAAAGCACUUAUCUAUCUUUUUUAUGCAUGUACUGAGCGAUUUUCUAAAUCUUAUAUAACAACUUUCAUACAUUUUUAUAUAAUUAUAUUUAACUUGCAUCGAAUUAAUAGAUCAAAGCAUUCAAAAUUGGCCUCAAGUCCACCUGUGCGUUCACACACAUUAAAAUAACAAUAACAACAACAAUAAACCCAGUAUAUUCCCACAAAGUGAGGUUUGGGAAGGGUAAGAUAUACGCAGUCCAUACCACUACCCCGAAGAAGUAGAGAGGUUGUUUCCGAUAGACCCCCGGCUCAAGACAGUGGACCAUAGACCAAAAAAAAUUAAAAAAAUUAACCGACUGAGGACACAUGAUAAAAUAACAGAGCAAUAACAUUCACAAAAAUGAAGUACAUUAACAAAUCAAGGGCCCCCCUCCCCCAAACGUAGACCUAUCACCCAAGCUAUGCUAACCUCUCCUAUCUGCCGACUACGGCUCGACCACCUUACUUAGUAUUCACACACAUUAAAAUAUUUAUACAUAUUAUUAUAACUUCGUGUAAAUGAAGAGGUUGUUUUCAAAUAAUAAUAAUAAUAAUAGUAAGUUUUUUUAGGACAAAGAAUAUGUUACGAAAAUAGUACUUUCUCUGUUCCACAAUAAGUUAAUUGUUUGAUUUUGGCACAAAUAUUAAGAAAAAAAGCAAAGAUAUAAAUUUAUUAUGCAUGAUACAUCACUCCUAAUACAUAUUUAAUGAAGGGUAGAUUUGAAAAAAAGAUUUAAUAUUUAUCUUAAAUUAUGAACCACUCAUUUAUUUAUCCAACAAUUCAGUUAUCGUGAAACGGAGGGAUUAUAACAGAAUCACGUAAAAGGAUGAAAAAGAAACCAUUCUUUGCGCCAUUGGUUUGGUCCAAUCACACGUAAUUCAUCAUUGUCCUUUUUGCAAUAUUUCCUCCUUUUUACUAUUAUAGUUUUGCUACUUUUUUUUUUUUUAAAAAAAGAGAAAAUUCAUUCUAUAUAUUAAUUUCUGAAUGAUUUCAGAGAUAUAUUCUUUUGAACUUAAUUCAAAGAAUUAAAUAUUGCGCCUCCAUUUUUGACUUUGGAGUUCAAUUACAUAAGAUACACCGACAAGGGAUCUUGAUUAGCAUAUUUAUAUAGUACUACUAAUUUAUUUUUUUACCUAUUGAUUUCUUAAUCUAUACUUUUGUAGGUUCUUUCAAUUGUAAAACUUGCUAGGUUUAUAAUUAUAUAGUUGUUAUUUGUUAAAAAUUAUGGUAGUGUUUAUAAGUAAGACAAUAAUUUUCUAAUUUGGUUCUCGUAAAAGUCACUGCAUUUGUUUUUGUCUCGAACAUGCAAUUUUACAAUGAGGGGUGGUUUUGGUGAUAACAUAAGAAUAUUCAAUGUGUAUAAGAUGUAUAAUGUUUGACUGGUCACAAAGAAAAUAAUUGCUGUAUAACUAAUGGAAUAUUUGGUUGGCGAUAAUUAGAUUGUGCACAAUUUGUGAUUUUCACUCAUAAGAGAAAAACAACAUUUUCAUAGAUGGACUGCGUACAAUUAUUGUUCAAAAUAUAUUGAUUAUGUUAUUGUUGUUAUUCUCAUCUUUCAUCUUUACUUGACAUUAGUACACUUUUCUAUUUUUUGAUGUUUAACAUAUUUAUUUAAUUUCUAAAAUAAUAAAUAAUUUAUUUAUUUAUAAUCAUUUUACUCUUAACAUAAAAUACUAUUCAUUAACUAAUAUAUUUUUCAAAACAUUAAAUUUAUUAUUCCCUCUAUUUUAAAAUAAAUAAAUUAUUGAGAUAUAACACUUCUCUUAAGAAAAAUCUUUUAAAAUAUAAAUUUUAAGUUUACUUUUCGUUAUUAUUUUUUUUUAUAAUCAUGGUGUCCGGGUCAGUUUACGCGCACCUCGACUAAAUUUACGGUAUACGCACCAGUAACAGAUACCAGAUAACUCUAUCCACUAAGGUUAGAACAGAUGGAAAGAACCUGAGACCUCAUGAUACUCAUCUCAAUUUCAUCAAACCACUAGACCACACCCUUGAGUAUACUUUCCAUUAUUAUUUUUUUAAUUAUUCUCUUAGAAAAUGCGAAGUGCUUACAAAUUUCACGAAAUGAGAGGAUAAAAUUAAAAAAAAAUAAAAUUCAAACAAGCCCUUAAAGAAUGAACAAUUUAUUUAUUUUAAAUAUUAAUUAAAUAUUAGAAUAAAAAUAAAUAAAGAAAAGGACAAAGUAGAUUCUGUUUGCAUGAAAAUUCGAGAACAGUUACAGAAAUAAAGCACAAAGUCCAAUUGCAACAGUGUGUCUGUGUGACUGUGGAAUUCCCGCCUGUCCACCCACACGAGCGCUUCUGCAUCCCCCCUCCCCUGCCCCCCCCACAAAUACACACCACCGCACGAGUAAUAUUAUUUUACUCGUUCCGUUUUUAUUUGUCACUAUUUUAUUUAUUUAUAAUUGAUAAAAUUAUUAUUUAUAAGCGAUAAAGUUGUUGUAAUAUAGUCAGGAGAUCAUGAGGUCAAGUUUUGAAAAUAGUCUCUGAUAAAAAUAUAAUAUAAAACUACAUAUAACACACUCUUGUAGUGAAGUCUUUCUUCUAAUUCUACAUAUAGCGGGAGUUUUAAUACAUUCGACUGUCUUUUUUACUCCUUCCAUCUCAUUUUAUGUGUUGUCUAGGAUUCCACCUAAUAAGAAAAAAAAAAUGAACAGUAAAAUUUAAGAGAGACAAUUUUAUAAAUUUUAUAAAGUCAUUAUUUAUUUUUAAACUCCGUAUCCGAUCAAAUAACUAUACAUAAAAUAGGACGGAAAGAGUAUUAUUUUUCUAAUUAAAUAUUUAUUUUUACUUAUCAACAUACUAAGAAAAGAUUAAAAAAUUAUUUUAGAAUUAGUAUUAAUUGUCUAUAUCUAAAUAUCAAUUAAUAAAAAUAAUAAGAUAAAAUAACUAUAUUAAUAAUUAUUUUAUUAAUGAAUGUGUCAUACUCUCUCUAGUUCAAAAUAAAUAAAUUGUUGGGAUGUGACAUAUGCAUCCUUUGAGAAAAAUCUUUUAGGACAUAAAUUAUAAAUUAUUUUCUUCUAUUAUUUUUAUAAUUGUUCUUAAAUUAUUCUUCUAGAAAAUAUGAAAUACUUAAGAAUUUUAUUAAAUUAAAAUGUAAAAUUGGAAGAAAUUCAACCGAAAGUAAUAAUUAAUUAUUAUGUAGUAACAAAUUAGAAGAUAAGUUUUCAAUUACUGUUGUAUUAACUCUUCAAUGUCCUUUGGUCAAGAUAACGGUCCUCCCACUUUGUCCAUUUUAUAUUAGUUGUAAAUUUUUAAUUUUUAUGUCUUUUAAAAAAUAAUAAAUAUAAAAAUAUAAUUUAACUAAUUUACAAUAACAACAACAACAAUAAAUUCAGUGAAUUCCCACCAAGUGGGGUUUGGGGAGGAUAAAAUGUACGCAGUUCAUACCGCUAUUUUUGAAAAGGUAGAGAGGCUGUUUCCGAUAGACCCCGACUCAAGAUAUAAUUUAACUAAUUUACACCUUAAAUAAUAAAUUUUAUAAAUUUAUUUACACUUUAAGAAAAAAAGUAAUUAUAAAGACAAAAUGGAACAAAUUUAAGAAUAGUUUUCUCUUGGUUAAUUGAAAAACAAUUUGGGACAGUUUUUUUUUUAAUUAUUGUGAACAAGAGAGCACCAAAUUAACUCGAUUUACUAUGAUUAAGAAAUUUAUUAUAGUGAAGAUAACAUUAAUUAACCAUCAUUAAAUGGAAAAAGUGUUUAUAUAAAUGUCUUGUUAUUUAAUCAUUUAAUAUAAUUAUCUAAUGCUAGUAAAUUAACCGAUUUUGAAAUUUUUGAAAAUAAAAAAGUGACCAAAAAAAAAAAGAUUUUUUAUUCCUAGAAAAAUGAGAGAAUCGUGUAAGUUCACAACUUCACAUCACUUCUUUUAAAAUAUUAUAUUUCUUGUUUAUUUUUUUGUUGUUUUAUGCAAUCUUUUUAUUUCUUAUAUUAUAUAGUACAAUAUUAUUAUAUUAUAUGCUUUGUGAAAGAGGAAAAAGACGAUUCUGUUUUCAUUCUUCUUUCUCUUCAUCCUUUAAACGUUACAACUCUUUUUUUUUCUUUUUUCUUUUUUGUUCCCAUAUAUAUAUAUAUAACUAUCAUCACCACUCACAUUUAAAACUUCUUUCUAUAAACCAAAAAAAUAAUUCUUACCCAAUUUUCCUUUUCAAAAACUGAAAAAAAAAAAAAAACCCAUGUUGAAUCUUUAAUUUUGGUUCUAUAAAUCAACUUUUUUUCUUAUUAUUCUUUUGGUGUUCAUCAAGAAAUGAACUUUUUAGUCCCUUGUGUUGAACAAAGUCCUUGGAGUUUUAAUCAUGAAGAAAAUUUACGGAAGUUGAAAGAUGAAAUAGAGGAAGAAAAUUUAGUGGAUAUGAAGAAAAAUAAUAAUAAUAAUGGAGGAACAAAGUUAUGUGUUAGAGGACAUUGGAGACCACAUGAAGAUUCAAAACUUAGAGAACUUGUUGCUCAAUAUGGUCCACAAAAUUGGAAUCUCAUUGCUGAAAAACUUGAUGGAAGAUCAGGUAAUAUUUCAUACUUUUUUUUAAGGUAUUUUUGAGGAUAUAUAUAUAGAUUAAAUGAAAUGUGUUCAUAUGGUAAAAAAAAAAAAAGUAAUUAUUUGCCAAAAUAAAGUUAUUUUUUCAUACAUAAUAUUUUUUACAUAGUGGCGGAUCUAGCAAUGAGUCAUGAAAUUGCUAUCUUUUUAGUUAUCGUCCCCUACUUGCUCAUUCACAAUUACUAUUACAAGAAAGUUGAGUUUUAUUCAUGUCUAGUCAGUGAAACAUUGUUCAUCGUGAAAAAGACCAAUCCCAACUUGUCUACAAAAUUGGACUAGUGUUCAGUUUUGGUUGGUUCCAUCUCUUUGUUAAAAAAAAAGAGUGAAAAAUCAUAUCCUUUCUCAACAAGUUGCUCGUCAAGAAAGUCAUUGACCUUUCACCUCGAAAAAUAUCCACAAUGUUUAGGCGCUUUUUAACUCAGAACUUGUAACGUCUAAAUUCUGAAUCCUGCGACUAUUGAACUCACCUUUUUCUCUUUUUGACUAAGAACGACCCAUAAUGUCUAAAUUCUGAGUCGUGCAACUAUUGAACUCGUGACCUUUUGUUUGACUCAAAACUCGUAACGUCUAAAUUUUUUGACUUUUUUUUUUUUUCAGGAAAAAGUUGUAGAUUGAGAUGGUUUAAUCAGCUAGAUCCAAGGAUCAACAGAAUGGCAUUUUCAGAGGAAGAAGAAGAAAGACUAUUAACAGCACACAAAAUGUAUGGCAACAAAUGGUCAAUGAUAGCUAGGCUAUUCCCAGGGAGGACAGACAAUGCAGUCAAGAAUCAUUGGCAUGUCAUAAUGGCAAGAAAACAUAGAGAACAAAACAGUGUGUAUAGAAGAAGAAAGAGUACUUCAUCAAAUUUGCAACAAAUUAUUGCUCCUAAUAAUAAUAAUAAUGAUAGUAUCAUCCAAAUUAAGAGCAAUAAUAUGCAAAGUGAUUUAACAAUUUCUAGCAACAAUUGCAACAACAACAACAUUAUUGUUGAUGAUCAUCAGUCAGCUUCAACUUGCACUGAUCUUUCCCUUACUCCCUCUUCUUCUAAACCCAUGUUUCCUCCUUUUCUCAUGACAAGAUUUACACAUCAUCAUCAUGUGGAGCAUCAAGGAUUUCUUGAUUCUAACAAAGGUAUAAUAUUUUUCUCCCUUCUUUUUCAUUUAUCUAAAAUCAUUUUAAAUUAUAUAUACAAAUUGUAUAAAAAAGAAUUUCCAGAGUCGAGAGUCUACUAGAAACAACCUCUCUACUUCUGAGGUAGGGGUAAGGUUACUUAAAUUCUACCUUUCAGACCCCACGCGCUUUGUGGGAUUAUACUGGGUAACCUGUUACUUAUGCUGUUCGAACUCUUUAUGAUGUAUGUUGUUGGGUACGUAUUAGAUCCUUCAAAAGUAUGCAUUUUUGAAGGAUUUGACAUGAAUGCUUCGAACUCUUGAAGAUGUAUGUUGUGGGGUACGUAUUAGGAUCUUUCAAAAAUACAUAUUUUUGAUGGAUUUGACACAAAUGCAACAACACUUUCGUAUGCAUUUGACAUGAAUCCAACAAUAUUUUUGAAAAGUCCAAGUAACAUUGCUUGUAACAACAACAUGUUAAUUAUCAUUUCUAGUAAAUUACCAUCAAUAUAUGUAAAUCAUAAUUAAUUUUUUGAUUGUAAUAUAGGCAUGUUGUCAAGAGAUGAACAAGAGGUGAAAAUGGACCAAAAAUUCUUGUACGGAAAGGAGCCUAUUGAAAGUUACCAUCAUCAUCAUAAUCAUCAACAUUAUGGAUGUGGUAAUGUGUCAGAUACAAAUUCAGAAAUUUCUGCAUCAGAAUCAGUAGCCAACAACAUGACCAAUGUCAAGAUUUAUGGUCAUCAAAAUGAAGAAGAACAAGAUAUAAAAACUAUUCCCUUCAUUGAUUUUCUUGGAGUUGGAGCCACUUGAAAAACAGUGGGUUCUUACGGGUGCGGCCUUUUUGCUAAGGGAGUAGGAUAAAUUAGUUUGUAACUUGGUGAUUACUGCUUAUAAUUGCCUCUAAUUAUCUAUUAGAGUUAUUUUCUAUGAAUGGAAAUAAUAUAGAGAAAAAUGAAACAAAAAGGCUAUGAAGCAUAAGUGAUUAUAUAAGUUUUGAUAAGCAAACUUAAUUAAUCAAGUAUUGGCGAGAAUUAGCAACACAAGUUGAUUCAAACGCCACCAUUAUAUAUAUGCUAUUUAAUUAAAGACACAAAUUUCGAUGAAAAUAAAAUUGGCUAGUAAAAAAUGUUUUCGAUAAACUUUUUGUAUUUUUGGUGAAGCUAGAAUGUGAAUUUCAAACUGAUUUAGACACCACCAUUAUAAAAUAAUUUUUUUCAAAAGAAAAAAAAGAAGAAGCUAGGAGGUCCAUGUGAUCUUCGUUCUCGUUAUGAAAUUCUGAUUAAUUUGAAUUUCUAUUGCAUAAAACACCUUUAAAAUAUUAAGAACUUUUAAGUCUUGUAAUUAAAAGAUAAAGGAAUUCUAUCCAUUGAUUUCUCAAAUGAUUCCUUAACUAAUAGUUAUUAUUAUCUCAAAAAACUAUUUUCUUGGGAAUUUUUUGUUAAAAAUAAUAUUUUUUUUCAAAUAAAAAAACCCAGGAGAUUCAUGUGAUCUUAACAAGAUUCUGAUUAAUUUGAAUUCUUAUUGCACAAAACUCGUUUAAAAUAUUAAAAUUUUUAUGCCUUAUAAUUAAAAGAUAAGGAAUUCUAUCCAUCAUUUCAGAUGGUAGAUUUUUCAAAUGAUCUCUUAACUAAUAGUUAUUAUUAUUUCAACAAACUAUUUUCUUCUAAUUUUUUUUUUAAAUAAUAAUUAUUAAUUAAAUAAUGAUAUGAGAAAUUUAACUUCUUAGCAGGGUGGGUGUUCUAUCAUUUGUCAUUAUGAUAAGGAAAUAGUAUAUGGUUGCCAAAAUAAUUCAAAGAGAAGUCUACUAAUUGUAGUUUUUGGCCUAUCAGGCAAAACAAAAGGAAAAGGUCUAUUAUUUGCCUAUCUUUUAUGACUUUUUUGUUGGUGUUUGGUAUACUUUAGUUGACUGCCUAUGAUAAUGAUUUGUUGAAAAUAACUUUUUUUUUCUUCAUGUUUUCUUUUACUAAUUACACUAAUUACUACUUACUAGUACUUUUUACACGUGUGCUUCAUGAUGACAUCUUAAUGGCAUGAUUUAAAUUUGCAUGAAAUAAUUACUACUUUAGUUUGCUAUAGUGAUUGGAUUAAGUGAACCUAAUUAAUCACUUGUAAGAAAAAAUGAAAAUGGAACACGUACUCAUGAAAUUGACAACAUGAGCAAGUUCUAUUGUGAAUUUGGCAUAACUUGAUUAGUUCUUUACUCCUUGACAUAUAAUUGACAUCAUGAGCAAGUUUAUAACGUUUUUAUCAUUCAUACAUAGUGUUUUGAUCUAAUAUUUUAAUUCUUUCGUAUUUUUGUAAUAACAUAUUCUUUCAUGGAACAAAGGUCUAAAAUACAAAAGAAACAAGCGUUUUCACAACUAUACCACCUCUCUUUCGUGACCAUAUUUCUUUCCGGCUAAAGAAUGGACACAAUCAGUUUGCUAGCGAUACAUAUAGUAUGGCAAUUCACCAAAAGGACAUUUUUUAUGGUCAAAAUUUUCAAAAGGGAUACUUGAUUUGCAAAGAAACUAAAGGAGACAAAAUAUUGUUGGCUGAGUGAUUUACAAGUUGCCUGAUAGCCGAUGAUUUGCAAGUCGUCUGGUGUCCAGUGACUUGCAUGCCGUGAUUUGUGUUUGUGUGUUGGUUUCUUUGUUGCAACACGUGAAGGUCUAAAAUGCAUAAAGUUAACUAAUGUCAUGCCUAUAUAAAUCCUCAAUCUCUAUUUCAAGAGUAGAAACAUCUCUUUUCUCAAGUGCAGAAUCAUUGUAACCAAAGAAUAUUUUUUUCUAGACAUAUUCGAUCAAAAUCGUUGAAUCCCAUGUGACUUGCAAAUCGCUCGGACAAUAAUGUUUUAUCCCUUUGAUUUCUUUCCAAAUCAAGUGUCCUAUUUGAAAUUUUUGAUUAAAAAUAAAAUCUUUUAACUCCGGACUCUAAUAUAGACAACAUAUCUAACACAAGUAUCAGUUGUUGAUUUUACUCAAAUUUAUUGUGAUAUCAUACAAAAAUAAUUUUAUCGUUUGCUUUGCGUUCACAAGAAAUAUAUAUAUAUAUAGGGGUACCAAGUGUCAUACACCUCCCUUAGGCUGUACGAAGACGCACGUGCAAGAAAUCCAUAUAUUGAAACCAUAUGGCAUUGAUAAUUAUAAGUUGAAAAAAAGAUUUGAGAGAAUAUUUUCUCCACUUAUUCACUUCCUUAUCUGCAGAAAUACUGCAAGCAAUGUUGUCCUUAUCAUAGUCUUCAUUUGGCAGGAAGGAUAAGAAAUUAUAACAUUGAAAUAAAAAUAUAAAAUUAUUUUAUUCUGCAUUUGGUUAUGGAUAUUAGUUAGUUCUAAAAUUGAUGGAAUAACUAGUCCUAAAAAGUAUGUUUAAGUGUCAUUUUUUUGCAGUUAAUCUUAACUAUUCAGAUUGUGUAGCUGGAAUUGAAAGAAAUUGACAGCUCUGAAGGCUGGGAUGGUUAAGUACCUGAAUACUCUUAGCUAUGUAAACACGUUUGAUUCAUAAGCUUGGAAAAAUAAUAUUUGGUUGUUUGAAAGUGAGAAACACAAGUAUUGAACGUUUACGAAAGUAGUAGUAUUUGACAUUUUCAUGCCACUUUUAUUUUUUUCGUUAAUCGUGAUGUCCAGGUGAGCUUUUGCACACCUCGACUAAAUUCACGGAAUAUUUGUUUCCUCUCACCAGCAACGAACACCAAUGAACUUUUGAGUUCCAAUUGAAGCUCUCCAUAAUGCUUAGUUAUUUUUCAAAGAUGGGAAUGAAAAGUGACCAAUGGGCCGAAAGGAGAAAUAAAGAUGGCCUAUAUUAAAUAGCCACGUAUCAACGCAUAAGUCUGGCCGAAAAAGAAAUAAACCAAUCAAAUAGUCCCGUUCUCUCAAGCUCUUAGUAGGGGUACAAAAUGCAAUCAUAACGGAUAAGUCGAGACCUAACAAAAGAGGUAAACCUGAAGCCUUGCGAAAGACUAGGUCGGACAAUCCUUGUUUACUAAGAAACUUAAGGGUGGAUUCUAGUAGGGGGCGGGGGGUGUCAUUUCUAAGUCCUAACUAGAGCCUAUAGCAGUACGAAGUCGCUUAUGCCGAAGGUCAAUUGAACAUGUUCGGGUGCAUACAAAUGACAGGUUUGACGGACGAAUUCAUUGCCAUGUAGAUAAAUACAAUAGAUGGAAACCUAAGCAAGCAGCAAAGCACAACCCCUCGCAAGUAGCUGCAUCGGGCUUUCGCCCAUUUAAUCUAUAUACCAAAAGUGAAUUCAUUUGCAUACGACGUUCUUACGGCACGAGUGAGGCAUGAAAAUGCACGACAGAAGGAAAACUGUCACACACAGGAAAAUCCUGUCAAAAUUGGUGUGCAAUUUAACAGUCUGCAUUUAAAGAAAAGUACCAUCAACAACAUAUAGCACAGGCAAUAAAAGGAAUAUAUCUAAACCGAAGAAACAGCGAUGAAGUAUAGAAGAAAGAUAAAGCCUAAACAAAUCUGCUCUCAAUGACAAAUGUAUGUUGUAGUGAGCUAAACCGUAUCUUAUCAUAUUCAAUCCAGCUGUGAAUUACUCGACCAAAUGUGUACAUAUCAGCAUUUUAGGUGGGAUACGCGACAUUGGUGUUGCAAGAAGAAACUCUAAGACACCACAUGUAUCUCUGGUUUUGAUCUUUCUUGGAGCAUUUUUACGCAUAUUGGCUAAUUCCAGUCGAUUCUCAAUGUGUGAACAGUGUGGGACGAUGCACGCAUCAGAAUGCCCAUUUCAUCCACUCUCACACAUAACCCCCAGCCACUGUCAUCUGUUGCAGGAGAAGAGUGUUUCAUAGAGGAUUACUAAAAAGAAACAGAGGCAGUAAAGCCUGAAAUGAUAACCGAUGAGCAUGUUGUUUUAACUUUGAAAGCUUAAAGUAGCACAAAGCACAAACUGGCGACUGAAAUAUGCUGCCACUUUUUUUAAAAAAAAGACAACUAUGUCAUGGACAUAAAAAGUGACCAAAAUAGGCUUAAGUGCACUAUUUUUAUGCACUAUAUACAUUUUCUUUAACGUUAAAUAGUGCACCAUCCAUUUUUUCCAUAUAUAUAUAUAUAGUGCACUAUAUCCUUUUAACCUAACCCCAAAAUACUCAGAUCUUCAUCUUCUCCCCACCAUCGGUCCCCAAAUCCUCUGUUAUCAGUUAUUUUUCAGCUAUAAAUACAUCACAUCUUUUCUUGAAUAGAGUUAUUGAGCUGCCAACAAGUUAACCCAAAACAUGUUAUCCGCAAAAUGAAGCUUAUGUUUCUCAUCCUUAAGUUAUUAUUGCCUCUCUCCAAUGGUGGGGGGCCGCUGGUAGAAGAUGAUAUAGUGCACUUAUUUGUACACUCUAUAUAUUUUUUCAUACAGUGUGGAUAGUGCACUAUUUUUGUACACUAUCCACUUUUUUGUAACUUUACUGUCGUAAGCGUUGUGUUGUUAAAGAAAAUGCAUAUAGUGCAUAAUAAUAGUGCACUAAGCGUAUUUUGGUCACUUUUUAUAUCCAUGGCAUAGUUGUGUGAUUUCUUUAAAGUGGCGGCAUAUUUCGGUUGCCAGCUCACAAAGGACCAGGGUAAACACAACAUGAAUUUAAGAUUCUGAUAUGGCAAUGACUUCCCAAGUCAUUGGCUGACAACUGCUUAAGGUUCUAUGCUGAGAGAUGCUAUAUUUAGGAUUUGGGUCCUAGGAUCACAACAUCUUGAGAUCCACUAACUCAAGUAAUCAGAAUGCAAGGACAUCUUAAAAAGUUGGAUGACAGUAUUUGCAUUUGUGACCCAACAAAUCCUACAACAGACACCAACUUUGCACCACCACCACCACCAACAUACCAAUGUAGCCCCACAAGUGGAGUCUGGGGGAGGGUGGGAUGUAGCAGACUUUGUCAUACCUUUGUGAGCUUGAGAGGCUAUUUCCCCAAUCGCCCCUAGGCUCAAAAGAAAGGUAUCCAGGAAUAGGGUUGCAAGAAAAUAUACAACAAAAUAAAAACAUACAAAACAAAUGCAGUAACAAAUAAUAACACACAUUGAAGAAUAAGUGACUACGCGAUAACUAAACACUACUACUAAAAGUAAACGAAGAGAGGGGGAGACUACCCCUAGCUACCUACUUACCUUCUAGCUUAAUCCAUGACCUCCAUACCUUUCAAUCUAAGGUAAUGUCCUCGUCCUCUGUCAGCUGAAGUUGUAUCAUGUCUUGUCUAAUAACCUCCUCCCAAUUCUUCUUCAGUUUACCUCUACCUCUCCUAACUACUGCUAUAUCUAACCUCCCGCACCUCUUUACUAGUGCAUUCCUACACCUCCUCUUCACAUGCCCAAGCCAUAUUACUGUCGCUUCCCUCAUCUUGUCCACAACUGAUGUCACUCCCAUCUUGUCCCCUAUAACACCAUUCCUAAUCAUAUCUCUCUAGGUAUACCCACACAUCCAUCUGAUUUGAAUUUAUAAGUUAUUUAAAAAGGUUCUUUCAUUUGAUUUCAAUACCUAUAGCACAAAACCUAAUAUAACGUAAUAACAUGAAAUACUAGGGUGCCAAGACAAGUGCACUUGUGAUUCUUGAUUAUGUAAUAAAAUUUCGUUCAUAAGCAUCAAGAAGAGGUACUACAACAACAACAACAACAAACCCAGUGUAUUCCCACCUAGUGGGGUCUGGGGGGUUAAGAUGUACGCAGUCCAUACCUCUACCUCUCUGAAGAAGUAGAAAGGUUGUUUUCGAUAGACCCCCGGCUCAAGACACGAGAUACCACACAAAUACAUAGUAAAGCACAGCACAAUAUUACAUAACAUAAAUACGGCACCCAUAAGUAAUACAAAACAGAGGAAAGCACACAGAUUUAUAAUAAAACAUGGAACACGGACUCCUAACAAGAAAAAACCCCCACCAAGUAAUUCCCUAAACUAGCGACCCAAACUGGCCCUAGUCCUCUGCCCUAAUCCGCGUCCUCCAGACCUUCCUAUCUAGGGUCAUGUCUUCGGUGAGCUGUAACUGUUCCAUGUCCCGCCUAAUCACCUCACCCCAGUACUUCUUCGGUCUACCUCUACCCCGUCUAAAACCAUCCAACGCUAGCCUCUCACACCUACGGACCGGGGCAUCCGUGCCCCUCCUCUUCACGUGUCCGAACCAUCUCAAUCGUGCUUCCCGCAUCUUACACUCCACUGAAGUCACACCAACCUUCUCCCGGAUAGUCUCAUUCCGAACUCUAUCCCCUCGGGUCAGUCCACACAUCCAGCGCAACAUCCGCAUUUCUGCCACCUUCAUUUUUUGGAUGUGGGCGUUCUUAACUGGCCAACACUCCGCUCCAUACAACAUGGCCGGCCGGACUACCGCCCUGUAGAAUUUGCCUUUAAGCUUGGGUGGCACCUUCUUAUCACACAGCACCCCCGACGCGAGUUUCCACUUCAUCCAUCCCGCCCCAAUACGGUGCGAGACAUCCUCUUCAAUCUCACCGUUACUCUGGAUCACGGACCCGAGAUACUUGAAACUAUCCCUCUUACAUACCUCCUGUGAUUCUAGCUUCACUACUACCUCAUUCUCCCGCCUCACGUCAUUAAACUUGCAUUCCACAUACUCUGUCUUGCUUCUGCUCACCCUGAACCCUUUAGACUCAAGGGUUUGCCUCCACACCUCUAAUUUGUCACUCACACCCCGUCGAGUCU
rnacentral:lncRNA from 1 species